GUCGAACGCUGGCGGCGUGCUUAACACAUGCAAGUCGAACGGAAAGGCCUGCUUUCCCUUUUGGAUUGCGGGUACUCGAGUGGCGAACGGGUGAGUAACACGUGAGUGAUCUGCCCCCAACUUGGGUAUAAGCCUGGGAAACUGGGUCUAAUUCCCGAGAGGACUGCAGGGUGGUGCCUGUGGUGGACAACGAUUUUCUAGUGGUUGGGGAUGAGUUCGCGGCGUAUCAGCUUGCUGGCGGGGUAAUGGCCUACCAAGGCGGCGACGGGUAGCCGGCCUGAGAGGGUGGACGGCCACAUUGGGACUGAGAUACGGCCCCGACGCGUACGGGAGGCAGAAGAUAGGGAUCAUGGACAAUGGGCGGAAGCCUGAUGCAGCGAGGCCGCGUGGAGGGUGACGGCCUUGGGGAUGUAAUAUCGUUGCGACCGAGAGGAAGAAACCUAGUUGGAGGGGUGGUGACGUUAGUGGCAGAAGAAGCACCGGCUAACUACGUG
rnacentral:rRNA from 1 species